rnacentral:lncRNA from 1 species
CUGAAUUCCAUGCCAUUGAAAACCUAACCUCAAUGAAGAAUUCAACAGCAGAUCCAAGACUGCACUUUCCAAAACCACUGAAGAGCAGAAACAGAUCUGAACCAGACUUCAGAAAGGAAAGAACACGCCAAAUAUUACCCAAUAUUUUUCUCAGUGGUUUGGCAGUUCUUUCUGAUGACAUAUGCGGCACUGGAAAUUAUACAGCCCAGAUGAACCUUAAUUUGGAGAGGGAGCUGACGCCAGGAGACUCCAUUCCAGCUCACGGAAAUCUUCAUGUCGUUAUUAACAUUAAAACCAACAACAGCCUCAUUAAUUUGGAAAUUGAGUCCUGCUGUCUUUCACCUUUUGCUCAGCCAGAUGAUUUCAACACCACCUGCUGUGUGUUUUCAAGGUAAACAGUCAAAACACAGUUCUUC